rnacentral:rRNA from 1 species
GAUGAACGCUGGCGGCGUGCCUAAUACAUGCAAGUCGAGCGAACGGACGAGAAGCUUGCUUCUCUGAUGUUAGCGGCGGACGGGUGAGUAACACGUGGAUAACCUACCUAUAAGACUGGGAUAACUUCGGGAAACCGGAGCUAAUACCGGAUAAUAUUUUGAACCGCAUGGUUCAAAAGUGAAAGACGGUCUUGCUGUCACUUAUAGAUGGAUCCGCGCUGCAUUAGCUAGUUGGUAAGGUAACGGCUUACCAAGGCAACGAUGCAUAGCCGACCUGAGAGGGUGAUAGGCCACACUGGAACUGAGACACGGUCCAGACUCCUACGGGAGGCAGCAGUAGGGAAUCUUCCGCAAUGGGCGAAAGCCUGACGGAGCAACGCCGCGUGAGUGAUGAAGGUCUUCGGAUCGUAAAACUCUGUUAUUAGGGAAGAACAUAUGUGUAAGUAAAUGUGCACAUCUUGACGGUACCUAAUCAGAAAGCCACGGCUAACUACGUG